CCCUUAGAUGUUCUGGGCAGCACGCGCGCUACAAUGGUCUUCGCAAACGGAUGCAUUCUCGAAGGAGAAUGCCAAUCUUGGAAUCUAUGCCUUGGUCGGGACAGUUGCUUGCAAUUUUUCGACUCGAACCAGGAAUUCCUUGUAAUCGUGAUUCAUCACAUCACGAUGAAUACGUCCCUGCCCUUUGUACACACCGCCCGUCGCUCCUACCGAUCGAAGAGUUAGGUGAAUUGUUUUGAUCGAUAAGAUUUGACUAUGGUCAACUCUCGUUGUGAAAUUCUGUGCAUCUGACUGUUUAGAGGAAGGAAAAGUCGUAACA
rnacentral:rRNA from 1 species